GUAAUUUUAUUUUUAUUUUAUCUUUGACUAUUUUAUAUUACCUUUUUACGAUUAACUUUAACUUUCCACAUUUCACUUUACUUUUUCACAUUAAACUAUUCGUCUUCUUCAACCUUGUUCCGAUGGUUGACCUCUGUGAAUUAUCGGCGAGCAACGGCAGGGCAAGGAACGACGAUCGAUGGAGGAGUUUGGGUUUGUCGUCAUUAUGGAAGGCGGAGUUGGAUAGUUACCAAAACUACCGACGGUGAAGGAUGGUGCGGGGAUCGGAGUGUAUAGGCCAGAGGUCGAAUUUUUUCUUCUUUUUUCUUUUUUCGUUAUACAGUUUGUUAUGGCUUCACUGUUAUUUUCUAAAAAUUUUUUUUUUUAAAAUUUUUAGAGUGGCUGGGUGUUUUUUUUUCCAGUUGGAGUUCAUUUUUUUCUUUGUAUUUUGUGUUUUAUUAUCCCAGUUUUACUAUUCAGUUUUUUUCGGUUUUAUUAUCCUUAAUACAUUGAUUAUAUUGUUCAUUGGUCUUUUUUUGUAUUUGCAAUUUUCAUAUACAAUUGGGAGUGACCUAUUGUUUAAUCUGUUUGGAUUUUGAAGUAUUAGUUUAUCUUUGUUUAGAUUUUAA